rnacentral:rRNA from 1 species
AUUGAACGCUGGCGGCAGGCCUAACACAUGCAAGUCGAGCGGGGUUUUCGGACCUAGCGGCGGACGGGUGAGUAAUGCGUAGGAAGCUACCCGAUAGAGGGGGAUACCAGUUGGAAACGACUGUUAAUACCGCAUAAUGUCUACGGACCAAAGUGUGGGACCUUCGGGCCACAUGCUAUCGGAUGCGCCUACGUGGGAUUAGCUAGUUGGUGAGGUAAUGGCUCACCAAGGCGACGAUCUCUAGCUGGUUUGAGAGGAUGAUCAGCCACACUGGAACUGAGACACGGUCCAGACUCCUACGGGAGGCAGCAGUGGGGAAUAUUGGACAAUGGGGGCAACCCUGAUCCAGCAAUGCCGCGUGUGUGAAGAAGGCCUGCGGGUUGUAAAGCACUUUAGGUAACGAGGAAGGCUUAGAUAUGAAUAGUAUUUAAGAUUGACGUUAGUUACAGAAUAAGCACCGGCUAACUCUGUGCCAGCAGCCGCCGUAACAC